rnacentral:rRNA from 1 species
UGACCCCUACGGGAGGCAGCAGUGGGGAAUAUUGGGCAAUGGGCGCAAGCCUGACCCAGCAACGCCGCGUGAAGGAAGAAGGCUUUCGGGUUGUAAACUUCUUUUAAGAGGGACGAAGGAAGUGACGGUACCUCUUGAAUAAGCCACGGCUAACUACGUGCCAGCAGCCGCGGUAAUACGUAGGUGGCAAGCGUUAUCCGGAUUUAUUGGGUGUAAAGGGCGUGUAGGCGGGAGCGCAAGUCAGAUGUGAAAACUCAGGGCUCAACCCUGAGCCUGCAUUUGAAACUGUGUUUCUUGAGUGCUGG